AAAAACCACACACCACCCCAAAAGAAAUCACUUUUGUUUCUUUUGAUACCCCAGUGUAGUGUUCAAACCACCACAGGCCACAGCAAGCACACCUUUCCUCCUACCCCUACAGGCCUACACCCGUCUCUCGCCCCACUCUCGUUGUCUGCACUCUCAUCGCCGAGAGUGUGAGCCUCCUCCGCAACACGCAAGAAGACUAGAAGAGAAACCCAAUGCGCCUCCUCGCGCUGCUCCUGCUCCUUGCCCUCGCGGCCGGCGCGGCGGGUGGCGACGCGGACGCGGACGCGCUGCUCGCGGCGAAGGCGGCCCUCUCCGAUCCCACCGGCGCGCUCGCGUCCUGGAAGAACGGGACCGCGGACCACUGCGCGUGGGCCGGGGUGACCUGCGCGCCCCGCGGCGGGGGAAACGCGGGCGUUGUCGUCGGGCUCGACGUCUCGGGGCUCAACCUCUCCGGCGCGCUACCGCCCGCGCUGUCCCGGCUCCGCCGCCUCCAGCGCCUCUCCGUCGCCGCUAACUCCUUCUACGGCCCCAUCCCGGGGUCGCUCGCGCGCCUGCAGCUUCUCACCCACCUCAACCUCUCCAACAACGCCUUCAACGGCUCCUUCCCGCCGGCGCUCGCGCGGCUCCGCGCGCUCCGGGUGCUCGACCUCUACAACAACAACCUCACCAGCCCGCUGCCCAUGGAGGUUGUGCAGAUGCCGCUGCUCCGACACCUUCACCUCGGCGGCAACUUCUUCUCCGGGGAGAUCCCUCUGGAGUACGGCCAGUGGGCGCGGCUGCAGUACCUUGCCGUCUCCGGGAACGAACUCUCCGGCAAAAUACCACCGGAGCUGGGGAACCUCACCAGCCUCAGGGAGCUGUACAUUGGGUAUUACAACAGUUACACCGGUGGGCUCCCGCCGGAGCUGGGGAACCUGACUGAGCUGGUCCGGCUCGACGCCGCGAACUGCGGGCUCUCCGGCGAAAUCCCGCUGGAGCUCGGGAGGCUGCAGAAUCUGGACACGCUCUUCCUGCAGGUGAACGGCUUCACCGGCAGCAUACCGUCGGAGCUGGGGUAUCUCAAGAGCCUCAGUUCUUUGGACCUGUCGAACAAUGCGCUCACCGGGGAGAUACCGGCGAGCUUCUCCGAGCUCAAGAACCUGACGCUGCUCAACCUGUUCCGCAACAAGCUGCGUGGUGACAUCCCCGACUUCGUCGGCGACCUGCCCAGCCUCGAGGUUCUGCAGCUGUGGGAGAACAACUUCACCGGCGGUGUGCCACGCCGCCUCGGCCGCAACGGCCGCCUCCAGCUGCUCGACCUCUCGUCGAACAAGCUCACCGGCAUGCUGCCGCCGGAGCUCUGCGCGGGGGGCAAGCUGCAGACGCUCAUCGCGCUCGGCAACUUCUUGUUCGGCGCCAUCCCAGACUCACUCGGCCAAUGCAUGUCCUUGAGCCGCGUCCGUCUUGGUGAGAACUACCUCAACGGCUCAAUUCCGAAGGGGCUCUUUGAAUUGCCGAAGCUGACGCAGGUUGAGCUGCAAGAUAACCUCCUCACUGGUAAUUUCCCGGCCGUGAUCGGCGUUGCAGCCCCUAAUCUUGGGGAGAUCAGCCUGUCCAACAACCAGCUUAAGGGCGCAUUGCCGGCAUCUCUUGGAAACUUCUCUGGUGUUCAGAAGCUGCUUCUUGAUCAGAACUCGUUCUCUGGUGCUGUACCUCCGGAGAUUGGUCGGCUGCAGCAGCUCUCCAAGGCUGACCUUAGCAGCAACAAGUUUGAGGGAGGUGUACCACCGGAGAUUGGGAAAUGCCGGCUUCUCACUUACUUGGACAUGAGCCAAAACAACCUCUCUGGGAAGAUACCUCCGGGCAUCUCUGGUAUGAGGAUACUGAACUACCUCAACCUGUCCACGAACCACCUUGAUGGAGAGAUACCUCCAUCCAUCGCGACGAUGCAGAGCUUGACGGCGGUCGACUUCUCAUAUAACAACUUUUCCGGGCUUGUGCCUGGGACUGGCCAGUUCAGCUACUUCAAUGCCACAUCUUUCGUUGGCAACCCAGGCCUGUGUGGACCGUACCUCGGACUAUGCCGCCCCGGCAUUGCUGGCUCCGACCACACUGCCCAUGCCCAUGGUGGGCUGUCCAAUAGCGUCAAGCUGCUCAUUGCCCUUGGCUUGCUGGUUUGCUCCAUUGCAUUUGCUGCUGCAGCGAUUCUGAAGGCCCGGUCAUUGAAGAAAGCUAGUGAAGCACGUGUAUGGAAACUCACUGCAUUUCAGCGCCUUGACUUCACCAGUGAUGAUGUGGUAGAUUGCUUGAAAGAGGAUAACAUUAUCGGCAAAGGUGGCGCUGGGAUUGUGUACAAGGGGGCAAUGCCGAAUGGUGAACUUGUGGCUGUGAAGAGGCUCCCAACAAUGGGCCGUGACUCAUCACAUGAUCAUGGGUUCUCGGCAGAGAUACAAACUCUCGGGAGAAUUCGGCACCGUCAUAUUGUGCGCCUGCUAGGCUUCUGCUCAAACAAUGAGACUAACCUGCUGGUUUAUGAAUAUAUGCCCAAUGGCAGCCUUGGGGAGAUGCUCCAUGGCAAGAAGGGAGGGCACCUGCACUGGGACACCCGGUACAAUAUUGCUAUUGAGGCUGCCAAAGGGCUCUGCUACUUGCACCAUGAUUGUUCACCGUUGAUACUUCACCGUGACGUCAAGUCAAACAAUAUACUUCUUGACUCCAACUUUGAAGCUCAUGUGGCUGACUUCGGGCUAGCAAAAUUCUUGCAGGACUCCGGUGCAUCUGAGUGCAUGUCCGCCAUUGCUGGCUCAUAUGGCUACAUUGCGCCAGAAUAUGCAUACACACUCAAGGUUGACGAGAAGAGUGAUGUUUAUAGCUUUGGUGUUGUGCUUCUUGAGCUGGUCACUGGAAGGAAGCCAGUAGGUGAGUUUGGUGAUGGUGUGGACAUUGUCCAAUGGACGAAGAUGAUGACAGACUCAAACAAAGAACAAGUGAUGAAGAUCCUGGACCCAAGGCUCUCAACUGUUCCGCUGCAUGAGGUCAUGCAUGUCUUCUAUGUUGCGUUACUUUGCAUCGAGGAGCAAAGCGUGCAGCGCCCAACGAUGAGGGAGGUUGUGCAAAUCCUGAGUGAGCUUCCAAAGCCAUCUCCCAAGCAAGGAGAAGAGGUUCCAAAUGCUGGUGAUGGUUCUGCAUCCAAUCCUCUUCAUCCAGCUCCGGCUGGUGGAUCCAAUGAAGCACCAACUGGCGAAGCGAAAGAUCAGCAACAGCAGCAAACAAGCUCGCAGUCAUCGCCGCCUCCUGAUCUCAUCAGCAUCUGAGUAAUUGAAAACUGAAAAUGUUGCUUUUUAUUGGGAAAUUUGUGCUUCAACCUCGCAAGUUUGGGUCGUAAUUUAGAAUGCAUUGAAGUGAGCUGAGCCUUGAAGUCAGAUCUCAUGCUACAUUGGCCCCAAAGGGAAAGCCUGUUUGCAAAGGUGAUUUACAUCUCAAAGCAGAAAAGGCUGGCCCAGAAUACCAAAGGAGGUGUGCAGGUAGAAGAAAUGGCUUGAUUAACAGAUGCUUUGCCCUCUUCAUAAGGUCAGCAGCAGAUCAGCAGUUAGCAGAUGCUUCAGUGUUAAGUGAAAGCGAGUGAAACAGUAGCUGGAUUUUGUGACGCUAGUUCGUUCCAUGCAACGGCCAAUGAGCUUCUGAAAGAGCCUUGUUCAAUCGUUGUUCUGAAAAACAAUGCAGAAGACAAAUGAAAAGGGCAAAGGGAAAAAGAAGAAGUUGAUCUGAGCAAUGGUCCCUUCUGCGAUUUCUCUGUGCACUGUUGCUGUUCUCCAGAGCAGUGUAGGCCCUAUUUUUGGCUAAGUGGGAAACGAAAGACGCCGAGUGUCCCCUACCACGUGUGGCGUGAGUCCACUGCUAAAGACGCCCUCGUCUCGUCUCUGCCGCCCGGGGGGCUAUCAAAUGCAAGGCUUCCUUCGCCCUCACUUCACCUGGUCUCUGAUCAGUGCCAUUGCUCUGUGCAAAGCACAGUUAGGACCACAGCAUUAGGAGCAGCCUUUCUUCUUAGGCAGCAAUACUUACUGCUACUUCAGAAUCUGAUAAUGUACUUUGAGGAGUGCAGAUGGCAAGAUCAUCUGUGUUCAUGGGGUUUGGAAGUUCGUGUGUGUGUUCAUCUGUGUUCGAAAUGCUCUAGCACUGUGAAUGGCUUCGGGUAAGAGGAAUCUAGUAUGAUUUUUGGUGCUCCAUGAGGCAAAGAGGCAGGAGCCAUGCGUAUAGCCCAUAUGGGGAUGUGUAGAACUGGUACCGGGAUGGCCGGAUUGUCA